GAUGAACGCUGGCGGCGUGCCUAAUACAUGCAAGUCGAGCGAACGGACGAGAAGCUUGCUUCUCUGAUGUUAGCGGCGGACGGGUGAGUAACACGUGGAUAACCUACCUAUAAGACUGGGAUAACUUCGGGAAACCGGAGCUAAUACCGGAUAAUAUUUUGAACCGCAUGGUUCAAAAGUGAAAGACAGUCUUGCUGUCACUUAUAGAUGGAUCCGCGCUGCAUUAGCUAGUUGGUAAGGUAACGGCUUACCAAGGCAACGAUGCGUAGCCGACCUGAGAGGGUGAUCGGCCACACUGGAACUGAGACACGGUCCAGACUCCUACGGGAGGCAGCAGUAGGGAAUCUUCCGCAAUGGGCGAAAGCCUGACGGAGCAACGCCGCGUGAGUGAUGAAGGUCUUCGGAUCGUAAAACUCUGUUAUUAGGGAAGAACAUAUGUGUAAGUAACUGUGCACAUCUUGACGGUACCUAAUCAGAAAGCCACGGCUAACUACGUG
rnacentral:rRNA from 1 species